AUCUUAAGUUUUUGGGAUACGAUUGCUUUCAAGCAAUCUGUAGACUUAUACCGGUGGCUCAGAGCAAUUUCCCUCACGUCAAUCGUUUUAUUCUAAACAUUAAGGAACAUCUCAGAUUCUUAUGAUUGUCUUGCUUUAAAAGGUAAAAACAAACAAAGGGAUUGAACUUAAUCAACUUUCCUAUAAUGUUCUUUUCAUAAUCUUCAUGUUUGAUAAUUCCCUUGACUUCGAUGCGUGUUUUUAACAACACGGAAAAUCAGAAUUAAGCAGUAUUUAUAUUUAGUGUAGUUAUAAAUAUAGAAACACGUCAGAGGGAAUUCCCAGUUUUGAUAAAAUGCGAGAGUUCUCUGAAUACCGA
rnacentral:lncRNA from 1 species